rnacentral:rRNA from 1 species
UGGGGAAUCUUCCGCAAUGGACGAAAGUUUGACGGAGCAACGCCGCGUGAGUGAAGAAGGCCUUCGGGUCGUAAAGCUCUGUUGUCAGGGAAGAAAGGUACUUUUGUGAAUAAUGGGAGUAAAUGACGGUACCUGACGAGGAAGCCACGGCUAACUACGUGCCAGCAGCCGCGGUAAUACGGAGGAUCCGAGCGUUAUCCGGAUUUAUUGGGUUUAAAGGGUGCGUAGGUGGUCUUUUAAGUCAGCGGUGAAAGUUUGUGGCUCAACCAUAAAAUUGCCGUUGAAACUGGAAGACUUGAGUAUAUUUGAGGUAAGCGGAAUGCGUGGUGUAGCGGUGAAAUGCGUAGAUAUUAGGAGGAACACCAGUGGCGAAGGCGGCUUCCUGGACUGUAACUGACACUGAGGCUCGAAAGCUAGGGUAGCGAACG